rnacentral:rRNA from 1 species
UACGGGGGAUGCAAGCGUUAUCCGGAUUUAUUGGGUUUAAAGGGUGCGUAGGCUGUGAGGUAAGUCAGCGGUGAAAUUGCGGGGCUCAACCCCGUCGAGCCGUUGAAACUGUCAGACUUGAGUUGGCGAGAAGUACGCGGAAUGCGCGGUGUAGCGGUGAAAUGCAUAGAUAUCGCGCAGAACUCCGAUUGCGAAGGCAGCGUACCGGCGCCACACUGACGCUGAGGCACGAAAGCGUGGGGAUCGAACAGG